GUUUUUUUUGAUAAUACCCUAUCGGCUGAUCCGGUCAGUCUCGAUAGGAACACACCGAAAUACUACAGACUGGACUUCUCCCGAUCCAGGUAGAAUUAGGCCACUACACCAAACAAUUUUUUU
rnacentral:sRNA from 1 species